rnacentral:lncRNA from 1 species
AUGUUAGAUUCAGAAAAAUCAACUGCAAUGUUGGGACCUUCAGGGCUGACCCAAGAUCACAGGUACACAACACAGGACUCUACCCCUGAAAAUAUCUGCAGCACCUUUUCAUCAGAUAAAGUCACUAACAGAGAGUUUCAGAAGUUUAAAGAGGUUGUUCCUGUACCAUGUGCAGCGGUCCCAGACUGGACUCAUCCAUCAGGAGGAAAUUCAUUAGCCUCAGAAUAUUUCACCUAUGCACCCCCCACCAGGAAGCUUAUUCCUACUGGCAAGCAUGGGUUCCAGAUAUUCCAACAGGUUGCUCCUGCCCCAUGUAGGAUGAACUGGAUUCAGGUAGGAGGAGAAACUUCAACAUCUGAAGAAGAUUCCAAAUAUAUCUUCUCAGAAAGCAAGCACAUUCCUACUGAUGAGCAUGCUAAAACACCCGGUAAGCUCAUCAUAAUUAGCAUGAGAAUCUUCAUGGUGGUAACAAAACCUGAAACAAAAUAUCCACUCCUCAAUAUAUCUAUUUUUGGAUGACACAGAACUCAGAUUAUGUUAUGCCUCAGUAUUUGUAGUUGUUGCUGUUGUUUCAUUCUCCAGAUUUCCAGAAGUGGAAAGGCGUUGCUAUUGAAAAAUACGAGCUAGAAGCAGCCAGGACUCAGGCAGCAGGACAAAAUUCAUCUGAUUCAAAAUAUUUCAGCUGUCUAUCCACUACCACUAAACUCCUUCCUACUGAGGAGCAUGGUAAGACUGGAUGCAAAAGUGAGGUUGAGCUCAGGCAGGAGAUAUACCUGAGGUGCUAGUCCAACUCUAGCUCACUUCUCUAUUCUUUUGAAUAUGGGGGAAAGGAUUCAGGGCAGAGGCACUGACAACUAAGACCUCUUGGGAGGAGCAAAUAGAGAUGGUAUUUCAAAA